rnacentral:lncRNA from 1 species
CUUUUUUUUUUUUUUUUUUUUUUUUUUUUUUUUUUUUUGUCUUUUCUAGGGCUGCUCCCAUGGCACAUAGAGGCUCCCAGGCUAGGGGUCUAAUCGUAGCUGUAGCCACCGGCCUACGCCAGAGCCACAGCAACUCAGGAUCCGAGCCAAGUCUGCAACCUACACCAUAGCUCACAGCAACGCCGGAUCCUUAACCCACAGAGCAAGGCCAGGGAUCGAACCUGCAACCUCAUGUUUCCCAGUCAGAUUCGUUAACCACUGAGCCACAACAGGAACUCCAAAACUAUGUUUUCUUUCCUCUUCUCUGCGCAUGAGAAACAAGAAUACUUGGGGGUGACUCUUGUUUGGCUUAACCUCGACAAUAUAUCAGGGUAAGGGUGGGAAAGGAACUAUUUUGAGCACAGAAGUGUUAUUUUCACACAGGUUGUCCCAUAAGACAAAGUCCUGUGAACUCAGACCCGUGUCCUAUGGAGCAGAGUCCUGGGGCGAAGAUGCCUAUAGACUCAUUGAGCAGCAUUGGACAGUCCUGGGCAGCACUGCUUUCACUGUGUGGUAGGAUGCUGGGAGCUUUGUGUUGGCAUUUAUUAAAUAUCUGAUAUGGACUAUGUGGACUCAGAUCCUGGCACAUGGAAAGUGCCAGAUUAAAUACUGUUUUUCAUUAACAUUAUUUUUUUUUCAGUCCUCAUAAUCACCCCAGGAGGUGAAUAUAUUAUUCUUAUUUUACAGGUGGUAGCAAGAGGUGAGGCAGUGUUCCCAUGUGAUAUGGCUGGUGUGUGGGAGAGAAAGAUGCUAAUCUCUGUGCUCUGAUCUGAAAUUCCAUAAACUGAUAGCACCCUGAACAGUAAACUUUGUUCAUCAACAGCAUCAAAUAUAUCAAACAGGCUGAAAUUUAGAUACACUGUCAAACCUUAGGUUCAAGCAAGGCUGUGAAGUAUUGACUGUAUAUUCUGGGUGGUCGGGGUCCAGUUGACAAAUCCAGGAAAAAUGGAAAAGAAGAGAAAACAGGGAAAAUAGCCACCUUGCCAUACAACAUGAACCAGAAUCUUGCCCUCUGUAAGUGCAAGGCUGAUGCUUCUGUCCUGAGAUCUCUUCCAAGAAAGUAACUUCUUACUUUCCUAUCAAAGCAAAAGUUCAGCAGCUGGAGACCAAAAAGAGAAUGAUUCUUGAAAAGGUAACCAAGAAGAGUUAUGUUGGCCUCAAGAAAUUUACUUGUGGAGUUCCCAUUGUGGCACAGCAGAAACAAAUCUGACUAGGAACCAUGAGGUUGUGGGUUUGAUCCCUGGCCUCACUCAGCAGGUUAAGGAUCCAGCAUUGCCAUGAGCUAGCUGUAGCUGCCAGCCUGCGCCACAGCCACAGCAGUACCAGGUCUGAGCCGUGUCUGUGACCUACACCACAGCUCUUGGCAACACCGGAUCCUUAACCCACUGAGCAAGGCCGGGGACUGAACCUGCGUCCUCAUGGAUGAUAGUCAGAUUCAUUACCACUGAGCCACGAUGGGAACUCCAGGAAGAUGCUUUUUUAGUCACAGAAGACUGUCAAUACUUCCUUAAUUUUUAUCUCAAUAGCAACUUAAAUCUGCAACUCUUGGGAGAUUUGGGGGGAGGGGCUAAACUUUGCUUUUUAUUUCAUUGGGAAAGGCAUAUUUAUGCCUGCUUAGCUCCAAUCAUAGCAGAGUUGAAAGAACCCUCAGCCUUGCAGCUUUUAACCAUGGCCAACCCUUCACAACCCAGCUUCUACUUUCUAAGGUGGAAUGAGAUAAUGCACAAUGUUCAUCCAGGCUUGGCCCUUCCAGCCAUAUGAAACUUUUCAUCUGCUGGGAUCCAGGAACUCUUGAUUUAAAAUGCAUUGAAUUCCUGCUUGGAGAGCAAGUUAAACCCAGCUUGGAUAUUUUAUUUAACCUUCAGCUAGCUGGGAGAAACCCAGUGCCAAGUCUGAACUCACACCAGGAGCAUUUUCUAGUUCUAUAUCGGUACUGACAGCAAGUCUGUUGGACUGUAUGGAAAUGAGACUGGUAUAUUCAGAACUCUGUUGUUAUCUUGGACAAGAUAUAUUUAUCUUUGCUAAGUCUCAAUACCAUUCAUUCACUCACUUGUUCAAGGAACUUUUUGACACCGACUGAGAUAAUAAUUGUACAAAGCAAACAAACACCACAUGUAGCUUUCGAGCACAGCUGUAGAAUAAGAAUGUUGAACUGGAUGAUGACAGAGGUUGCUGCCAGAUCUGUUGACAAGUGGAAGAUUCUGUGAGUAGGAUAAGUUGGUAGUUUUUUUUUUGUUUUGUUUUGUUUUUCUCUUUCUCUCACACAGACUCCCCUGGACCUGGUCUUGUUCUGUUAUGGAACUCAGAGUGGUAGGGAGGAAAACAGCAGCGUGUAGUUUGGGCAAGUUCUCCUCUGUCCCCAGUGGUCUCUUUGUGCUUUGAACCUUGUCCUUACUCUGACUACCCUCCAUCCUCUCCUUUACUUGCUUACUAAACAUCUCCACAGUAAGUGCCCCUUUCCCCGGCAAAGCAAACGUCAAAAGCAGUUGACCCAAAGAACAGACAAAAACCCAGCACCUUGUUCACUGGGUAGCUCAACCCUCCAGACUGAGAUUCUUCAUAUCAGAUCAGUUUUCAUUAAAGUAUUAACAUAUUUCUCAGGGGAUGUAGUGUGUCUGCAGGACAUCUGAAAAGGGGUGCGGAAUUAAAGAGUUCUGUGUACAACUGCAUCUGCUUCAAAUUAUGCUCUACAAAAGACAAAAAUACAGCUCUAUAAGUCUAAAAAUACUUCUUAGUUGUUAGCCAAAAAUGCAUUUAUUCUUGGAUUCAUAAAAAUUUAAGCCAUGUGAAAUAUGCAGGGGGCAUGCACUCUCGUAAAAAAUUGACCAAAGAAAGAGAAGGAAAAGUUAAAAUAAACUUUGAAAAUCCUUUAUUGAAAGGAAAGAGAGAAAGUAAGACUUUGGGGGUAUGACUAGAAAGAACUGGGAAAGUUUGCCCUGAGGGAAAAUUAACACUUCUGAGGACCCUACACCCCAACGUCUCCCCAGGAAGACUAUGUGCAGCUGUGAGCCAGGCUCCUCACUCUCACCAUUUAAGGGGAGACUAGUAAAGCCAGAGUCAAGGACCCACAACAACCCCAAAUCUCAGCAUUGUGGUCAGUGCAAUGCUUCUCAAAGCAUCUAGGAUUUGGAAACAGUUUUUUUUUUUUUCUUUCCAAUCCAGAAUUAGUCAAUGUUUUUAAAGGAAAUACAAUUAGAAUAAAUUGUUUUAAAAAAUGAAAUAAAAAAGACAAAUAAAAUGAGCCCCAAGGAAUUUCCUAAGGAUCCAGUGUGAAGCUGUCUCUGCAGCUACUUGAUUCACUGCUGAGGCAUGGGUUCAAUCCCAUGUGCAGUGGGUUAAGGAUCUGGCAUUGCCCGCGACCUUCCAUAUGCUGUGGGUGCAGCCUCCCUCCCCCAAAAAAUAAGCACCCAUUUUUUUAUUACUAGACUUGACAAACAUAAAAUUACAUUUCAAAAUUAUAAAAAAAAUUACUAUAAAAAGUUUCUAAGCAUGCAGUCUGUAUAUCUGUACUAUUUCAAAGUAUAUCAGUAACGAGGCACCACACUUUGAAUGGCACUGGUGCAUCAGGGUGAGAUCUGAGAGAUUUGCAGUCCAAUUCAAUCACAAGUGAAUAGUAUCCCCUGGGGCAUUAUUUGAUCAUUCUGAGCCUCUGCUAUCUCAUCUGCAAAAUGGAAUAACACUUUUUUAUGAGGGCAAGAAAGCAUAGCUAUACCAUACUUGGAAGGUAAGAAUUGAGUAAAUGCUACCAGGACAUAAUAUUUCCAUCACCAUCUAUGUUAGUUUCCUAUUGCUGCUGUAGUAAAUUACCACAAACUUAGUGGCUUAACACACAUGUAUUCUCUGAUAGUUGUAGAGGUCAAAAGUCUAAAAUGGGUUUCUCUCAGCUAAAAUCAAGCCACCUCCUAGAGGCUCUAGAUGAGGAUCCAUUUCUUGCCUUUUCUUCCUCCUAGAGGCUGCUUGCUUUUUUCAGUUUGUGGCCCUUCCUCCAUCUUCAAGCAAAUUUAUAGCAACUUUAGAUUUCUCUCUGACUUUGACCUCUUCUGCCUCUGUUUUGCAUUUUAAAGGAUCUUUGGUAUUACAUUACAUCCACCUAGAUAAUCCAGGAUAAUCCCCUUAUUUCAAGGUCAGCUGAUUAGCAACCUUAAUUCCACCUGCAAACUUAGUUCUCCCUUGCCAGAUAACAACAUAUUCAUAUUGAACAUAGUCAAGUUCCUGGAGAGUAAAAUGUGGAUAUCUUUGGGGGGGAGGUAUGUGAUAAUACUGCUUACCCCAUCAUCAAACAUCAUUCAUUCAACUGACAUUUUACUGUCCUUCAGAAUUAUCAUCUUUAAAGGACCCCAGUAGCCACUUCAUUCAUAUCCAAUCCAACAGUCAAGGAAGAAGCCUGAGAGUCAGUUAUGUGGACUGGGAGAAGCCAAGCAUUAUUCUUGAACACUAAUAGUAUCACACACAGGAGGCAAGUCUCCUUUAUCCCAUAAGAUCUUUAAAUCAUCCAGGAAGAUGCUGAGGUGUUUUGGACAGGGAUGUUAUUCCCCCAGUCAAAUGAGAAAACUGAAGCUCAGAGUGUUACUUGCCCAAGGCCAUAUUGGAUCCAUCUUCCACAACUUACUAGCCAAAUCUGGCACUUUUUUCACAAAACCAGCUUACUUUAUUUUUUCCAGUUAAUAAUAAAAGGCCUUUUAAAGGGUGAAAGUCUGUGGUCAAUGAGGAGGAAAAAAAUGAUAUAAUACUCUUGACUAAAUCAAAUAUUCCUUUUGAGGAAAAGUAGUUUAUAUCCUUAGAUUUGGUCAAAGAAAUUUAGUAUAAAUUGAAAGCACAUGAACUUGAAGAGUGAGUUUACCAUGUGCCAAGCACUGUUCUAAGGGGUGUGCAUGUAUUAAUUUGUUAAUCCUCACAAGAGCCAUUAGAGCAGAUACCAUUAUUACUCACAUUUUAUGAAUGAGGAAUUGGAGAUACAGAGAGGGACUAGCUUACCAAAAGAGAAUUCACUCCUGCCAGCACUUCUGGGAAUCCCAUCUAAUAAUAACACCACUAACAGUAAAGAUAUCUGCCAUUUAUUGCAUGCUUUACAUAGAGUUUUCUUACUCUGUUUUCUUAAUAAUGCUAAGAAGUAUUUCUCUCACAGAUGAAUAAACUAAGACUCAAAGUUCAAGUAGCAUGGCCACAAUCUCCUGACUUAUAGGUGAUAGAUCUCAAACAG